GACGAACGCUGGCGGCGUGCUUAACACAUGCAAGUCGAACGGUAAGGCUCCAGCUUGCUGGGGUACACGAGUGGCGAACGGGUGAGUAACACGUGGGUGACCUGCCCUGCACUUCGGGAUAAGCCUGGGAAACUGGGUCUAAUACCGGAUAGGACCAUGGUGUGGAUACUGUGGUGGAAAGUUUUUUCGGUGUGGGAUGGGCCCGCGGCCUAUCAGCUUGUUGGUGGGGAAAUGGCCUACCAAGGCGGCGACGGGUAGCCGGCCUGAGAGGGUGGACGGCCACAUUGGGACUGAGACACGGCCCAGACUCCUACGGGAGGCAGCAGUGGGGAAUAUUGCACAAUGGGCGGAAGCCUGAUGCAGCGACGCCGCGUGGGGGAUGACGGCCUUCGGGUUGUAAACUCCUUUCACCAUCGACGAAGGGUUUCUGACGGUAGAUGGAGAAGAAGCACCGGCUAACUACGUG
rnacentral:rRNA from 1 species